rnacentral:rRNA from 1 species
CCAGCAGCUGCGGUAAUUCCAGCUCCAAUAGCGUAUACUAAAGUUGUUGCAGUUAAAAAGCUCGUAGUCGAAUUCGGGCCCAGCUUGCGGAAUGGCCUACAAGCCUUUAGCGAGCCGGGUUCAAUUUUGCCGUCAGACGGUUUCUUCACAAGAGAACAGGAAGGCGGCAUUUUUUACUGUGAACAAAAUAGAGUGUUCAUGGCAGGCCUUUUUUGUAAGGCUUAGAUACCUCAGCAUGGAAUAAUAGAAUAGGACUUCCGGUUCUAUUUUGUUGGUUUUUGGAGCCGAAGUAAUGAUUAAUAGGGAUAGUUGGGGGCACUCGUACUCCGUUGUCAGAGGUGAAAUUCUUGGAUUUACGGAAGACGAACAACUGCAAAAGCAUCUGCCAAGGAUGUUUUCAUUGAUCAAGAACGAAAGU